GGGGGGGGAGGAACAAAUCUAAAAAAUAAAAUACAUAUUCUGGGUUUACAAAAGUUGUUUGGAGCUUAGAGUUAAGCAUCAAAGUCUGAUUUGGAAAAUACAACAUUGGAAAAGCAGAAGAAAUAAAGAUUGAAGAAAAUUUAAUUACUGGAAUUUUUAAAGUUCAAAUCCUUCUCGUUGUGUGUUUAUAAAAGUUGUUGAAGAUGGGACUUGCUCGGGUUUUCUGCUGAUUUUUGUGGCUUCUUUUUUGCUGAGCUUGAUCUUUAUCAUUAGUUCAUUUUCAAAGCCAGAGAUCCAUUUCCUUCUUGUGUUAUUCUGCUGCAAUCAGAUUUUGGAGCUGGUUGUGGCUGAUCGAGAGGUCGGUUGCAAGCAUUCAUCAAGGAGACCCAACGUAGUCCUGCAGACGUUCGUAGGCUCUGGCGUCCCCUCGUAUGUUCUACAUUUUUGUUUUAUUUUCUUUCGAGACAGAUGUACUUUUCUUUCAAACCAGUAUUUGUAGUAAUUCAUAGAAAGUUUGUGGAUUAUGACAUCAGUUUCUGGGUGAUAAUAGUUUCAAUAUUUUAAUAGCAUAUAGAUAAUCGGUUUAAUAUGUA